UGACAGAGGAGUGUGGCAAAUUUGGU
rnacentral:piRNA from 1 species